UGUAUACUCCCUCCGUCCGGAAAUACUCCUCGGAGGACUGGAUGUAUCUAGAUGUAUUUUAGUUCUAGAUACAUUCAUUUUUAUGCAUUUCUUCGACAAGUAUUUCCGGACGGAGAGAUUACUAA
rfam:Triticum aestivum genome assembly, contig: Triticum_aestivum_CS42_TGACv1_scaffold_130383_2BL